GACCCCGUAGCUCAGCUGGAUAGAGCAGCUGCCUUCUAAGCAGCAGGUCGCGUGUUCGAAUCACGCCGGGGUCGCCA
rnacentral:tRNA from 1 species